AACAGCAUAGCCACAUAGUGCAACGAGCCAAAUAAAGUCUUAAUUUAUUCAUUUAUUCCUCCAUUAUGUACAGUAACUACUAGUGUAAAAGUCCAUGUAAUUUAAUCUGGGUUGAUGAGCUGUGGGUUCUGUUCUUGUCCUGUAUUUCACUUCAUGGUGUGUUUUAAGUGCACUUACUUAAACCACCUCACUCCUGUGCAUCCCACCUGCUGACCAUCGCUUAGGCUGCCUGGUUCACCACUCACCACUGGUUCACCUGCUUACCCUUUUCCCCCACACUAAAACACAAUCACCUCCCUUCACAUUCAUGUCUCCAUGGCUCCUCCAGAGAUUAAAAGCACAUUUGUCCAAGUGUUAAGCCUGAGAUCCAUCAUCCUUUGGGCUUGUAUUACAGCCACUGGCAAAUGAAAUUCCAACAAAUUCUGGAAGAAAACGUAGCAUCACCUGUGGAUGUAGUUAAAAAGAUAAUGGCUUCUGCACACACACAAAUCUUGUCAGUGGCCAUUGCAACACCCUCCGUCUUUCAAGCUGAGGCUCCCUUUUCUGUCCAUGGAAACACAACACUGAGCCUGGACAAGUGUGUGGACUUUGAUCAGAAGACAGUUUUUGAUAAUGAGAAGGGUUCCUCAGACGAAAAUAUGAUCCACCACCACAGCCUGCCUUGCAACAGCACAGCCCCUAUAGACAAUCCACUGCAUGGACGCAACAGUACAGCCGCGGCAAAUCCACUACAGGGACACAAACACGCAGGCAUCAUUGUCAUGAUUCUGUUGUUAGUCCUGGGAGGAGGAGUGAUUGGGUCCAUUUGCUAUUUUAAAAAAAACAACAAGCUUUGUAAGAAAACUGAAGACAGUGUCGUUUAAACUGCCUUGAAUCCUUCAUUUCUACCUCCUCCACCUCGAGACACUGCACGGAACAGCUGGCUUCCAUCUUCACGGACAUUUUCAACACCUCCCUGGAGUCAUGCCACGUGCCAGCCUGCUUCAAAUCAUCCACCAUCGCCCCUGUUCCUAAGAAGCCACAGAUCAGAGGACCAAAUGACUACAGACAUCAGCCACUAGCCUGUAGUCAUGAAGUCUUCUCAAAUCGUCUCCCCAUCUGAAGGACAUCACCGCCCCCUUCUGGACCCGCUGCAGUUCGCCUACAGAGCCAACAGGUCUGUGGACGACGCUGUAAGCCUAGCCCUCCACUUCAUCCAGGAGCAACUGGACUCCUCAGCAACCUAUACCAGGAGACUGUUUGAGGAAGAUCGUCUCGGACACUCGGACUACAAACACUGGAACUCCUCAGGGCUGUGUACUUUCCCUCUGGCUCUUCUCCCUGUACACGAACAGCUGCAUCUCCAGUCACCAGUCUGUAAAACUGAUCAAGUGUGCGGACGACACCACCCUCGUCUUGUCCCUUUGGCUUAAGCUACAUUUAGUUUUCACUUCAUGGCUCUUUGACUUCUGGCCCUGACCUCAUUGGAGAUUAGAGAGAGCGAGAUUAGACUCUGUAUAGGAGCAAUAGAAUUAUGGACCAUUCCCUAGGUCUGGGCCCGGAUGCCAUGUGUUGAAACCAGAGGAAACUCGCCCUGAACUUGCAAACUCCACAGAUAGACUCCACAGGGUCCUGGAUUUUAAAUUCAUGGUCUGGUUCUGUGAGGCAAGAGGGUUGAUUUCGUUAUACCAUGACUUUCACCCAUCUUUUGUUUUACUCGACAAACUACUGUACGGUGAAAACUGAAACCCUGCUCCUGAUGGACUUUUUAAUCUAAAAUACUCUCCGGUCUCAGCUGCUCAGGAGGACAGGUCUUGAGGUCCUUUGUUUUUGCGCUGGUCAUUUUUCAUUGUUAAUCAUGGAUCUUGAAAGCCAGGUGAACACAUCUGUACAGUGUGAUGGCUUUGCCGAUUGUGACCUGCUUCAUUCACCAAAGAAGAAACGUGAAUGUAACGAUAUCCAAGUCUCACAGGAUGGUAUUAUGUUUUAGCCCCGGCAGAAUUUGUCUAAAAAAAAACGCUAAUUGGGAUUUUUCUAGCAAGAUCUCUCUCUCCCUGUCAGCCCUUAAUGCUUCUAAAAUUUUAAGUACCGGUAGUUUCUGUUUCUGCAAAAAAAACUGUAAACAAGGCGUCACAAAAACAAGGUGAAGUAAUUAAUCAAAUGCCUUUGUUACAAAAUAAAUCAUUAAGGGUCAUUGAAUGAAUUGUGCUGACCUAAAAUGACAUCACAAAGCAAUACCUUCCAUGAGACAUUAAUAGUGAUAUUGCUCUUGCACUUUUUUGUUUACUCCGUAACAAAAAUUACCAAAAUAUAUGGCCCGAAACACACUGAUUUGGAGGUUUUUUGCUGAAAUUUUUUGCAACAUUCCUUUCAUUUUGCACAAAGUUUUGCUCAUAUGUUUAAAUUUAAGUUGAUCCACAUUUCGAUUAUUCCUCUAUUCACAAUAAUGGAUACAAAGCUUUCAGCAGAUCCAUGGGGUCAUUGCAAAAAAGAAUGCGUUUAAACAAAAUCCAAUUCUAAAAUACUAAAUAAAUUGCUGUUUACUUUGUUACUUUCCUCCACUGAAGGCGCGUUUACUUCAGUUGGACUUUUCGCACUUUUCCAAAUAAUUUAUUCCUAAUGUAUUUUUAAAUAUAUAUUUAUAUUGACAAUAAAUUAUUUAAAAUAUCCAGUGACUAAACUAUAAAGUCUACAUUUAUUUUCUCACUGAAACAUCUUCCAGUACACGUGUCUGAAGUGUUUAUACAGUUGCUUUAGAAAUCAUGAUCAUGUGAGACUUUCCGUAAUGCUGUUAAUGUUGCUUCUAUGGUCAACGCUCACAUUAACCUAGAUCUUUGACAGAGCUUUGAUGUAUGCAAGAUCCAAAUGUUUCUGUUCUGCAGUGUUUUGUUUGAAGUCUGGGCACUGUGUAUAAUGUCUAAACUGAGGAAACCCUUUCAGAAAUAAAUGUAUAAUAAAUCUGGCAUUGGGUUUUUACUCUGAUCUCAUGCCUAAUUAUUACCUACACCUACUUCAAGCGUAAAUGUCGUGCGAUAACUCCCAUGUAAACUAUUAUUUUCGUCUGCAUGCCUUGAUUUUUAUUUUGUUUUUACUGCUGGGUGAUUCUACAACUA
ensembl:lncRNA